GAUGAAGAACGCAGCGAAAUGCGAUAAGUAGUGUGAAUUGCAGAAUUCAGUGAAUCAUCGAAUCUUUGAACGCACAUUGCGCCCCAUGGUAUUCCGUGGGGCAUGCCUGUUCGAGCGUCAUUUACCCCCUCAAGCUCCGCUUGGUGUUGGGCGUCUGUCCCGCUUCGCGCGCGGACUCGCCCCAAAGGUAUUGGCAGCGGUCGUGCCAGCUUCUCGCGCAGCACAUUGCGCUUCUCGAGGCACCGGUGGGCGCGCGUCCAUCAAGCUCACCCCCCCAGUUUGACCUCGGAUCAGGUAGGGAUACCCGCUGAACUUAAGCAUAUCAAUAAGCGGAGGA
rnacentral:misc_RNA from 1 species